UACGGGGGGGGCAAGCGUUGUUCGGAAUUACUGGGCGUAAAGGGCUCGUAGGUGGCCAACUAAGUCAGACGUGAAAUCCCCAGGCUCAACUUGGGAACUGCGUCUGAUACUGGAUGGCUUGAGUUCGGGAGAGGGAUGCGGAAUUCCAGGUGUAGCGGUGAAAUGCGUAGAUAUCUGGAGGAACACCGGUGGCGAAGGCGGCAUCCUGGACCGACACUGACACUGAGGAGCGAAAGCCAGGGGAGCAAACGGG
rnacentral:rRNA from 1 species